AGGCGCAACUUGAGACUGAUAUCUGCACUACAGGAAUUAAAAGAUGGCAACAGAUAAUCACAAGAAAAGUCAUCUCCUUCUUCUGAUCAUCCAACUGCUCCUCCUACACAGAACUUGUGCAGAGACUGUCACUUACAAGCUGGUGCUGAAAAAUCUAAGUCUGACCCUACCCGGUACAUAUACAUCAUAUAACGGUUAUACAAAGAUAAGAUGUGCAAUGAUCUGCAAUCAAUUUGGUUGUGACGGGUUAGCUCACGUUGCAGCAACGAACGAAUGCAGACUCUAUCUGACACUCCCCACCUUCAUAGAACCAAUGACGGCAUCCGAAGCAACUCUGAGAACCUACCUUCCUGCCCAUUCUCCCAUUAUUUUCAUUAAACCUGUUUAUGGUACCAGGCCAUGGAAUAACGCGAAAGUAGAAUGUGAGAAUUUGAACGGGCACAUGAUACCCUACCCAACAAGGGCAGAGUCAGACAGACUGUUUUCCAAAUACGGAUCCUUCCUCGUUGGUCUUUACAAGACAUCGCAGCAGAGCACCACCUUCUACGACUUCUUCGGGGGGACGGUCGAGCAGUCCCAGAUCGAGUGGGACGUUGGACAACCGAACAAUUACGGCGUCGUGGCG